rnacentral:snoRNA from 1 species
GCGGCGGGGGGACGGUGAGCGCGACGGUGCGCCGGUCGACGGCGCUGCUGGGCGGCGCCGACGCGGUGCAAGGAGGAGGGCCCCAAGCUGUCGACGGCGUGCUGUGGUUCCGGCCAGCUUC